AGGGAAGAACGCUUCCACCGUGAUAAUUGCUCUGACCGAUGGAGAACUCUACCCAGAGCCAUUUGAACUGUCGAAGGAAGAAGCUAGGAAAUCUCGGAACAUGGGGGCAACUGUUUACACCGUGGGUGUGUUGCAAUAUGUGAAACGCCAGAUAGAAGCAAUUGCAGACAGACCAGAACACGCAUUUGGGGUGGACACUGGAUUCAAGGGCCUGCAAGGCAUCGUUGACAAGCUCGCGUCAAGGUUUUGUCUUGAAGUUACAUCUGCGCGUGCUACCAGUUCGUGUUUAGGAG